AGUCCGUAGAGGAAACAAAUUUUUACGCCUUCUGUUUGACUGUUUGUCAUAUAUUUGGUUUUAUUUCCCAGGGAUCAGUGAAUUUUAACUCUGGAGUCCUCUAUGCUAAGGAUGCUCAGCUUACAGAUGAUGAAAUGUUCAGUAAUGGUGAGUUUUUCACCUUCUCCUUCAUUGUUUUGCUCAUCUGAAUAAAAAAAAAAAGGCAAGAUUAAAGAAAAAGCAAUAGUUUUAUUAUUUUUACCCUGUUAUGUCUGUUUCCUCAGUAUUUGCUGGAGCUGUGCUUACCCAAGGUUUGGGUAAAACAAGCUUUGGGUUCCUUCUGUCUCACUGGGAGUUGCCCAAUUCAGUUGCAUCUGGUGAAAUUCACCCUGAGACCUUACAGAACCAGCUCCAACUACGUGAGAGCCAUUUGCAGUUCUCUCCAGACGCCUGGAGAAUGGGCGACGUUUCUGAGGAUCCGGCGAGCGUGCUUCUGUCAAAACUCAGUCUGUGAAAUUUCUGGGGAAAACCCUUCUGUGUCCUGAAGGGUUCAAACUCUGGUGAGGAUCCAGUUAUCAGGUGCUCACCUGGAUGGUUCCAGCUGCCAAAGGGAAAGACUCUCGUAUCCUUGUCGUCGGGCUCGGUGCUGUCCAAGAAGAUACAGAGACUAAAAAAAUCAUAAGAAGCAAAAUAUGACUGCAGGGAAAAGAAGCUGGAGAGAACAGAAGACUCAUCACGGCGGGACAGCGUGAGGACUGAAAGUGUAAGAAGAUGUGGAGGGAAAGAGAGAAUCUGACAGGAGCAGCGAACGCACGAGUGCACGAAUUUUGCUUUUUGCUUGGAUGUAAACUCAGGAGUUGAAAGGAAUUUGGGAGUGAGAAGGGACAUUUCAGAAGGAGAAGAAGAAAAAGAAGUUGUUGUUGCUACAGUCCUGGCAAAAGCUUUUGUUCUAGCUAAUAAAAGAAGUU